GGAACAUUGCAAAGCCCACCUAUGUAUUAAGCCUUUAUCCGAGGGGGAAGUCUGGCUGGCAGCUUCAUUUGAGUUCUUUUGGCCUGAGGAGUUUGCUCUGAGUCCUUGCUGUUUGUCAAUGGAAGCAGCCAUGGGCAAUCUAAUCUACUCCAGCAAGUCACAAAUCCUCAUGGUCAUUUUUACCAAAACUGUUGAAAGAUCUAAAUAAAUCACCUGACUACUGAUCAAAACCCAUGGAAACCAGUGCAGGCUCCAUAUUUCAGAUGAGAUUGAAAAGGGUCGAGGAAAUCAAUGGACUAUAUUAAAUGAACACCUUUUCACUAACUCACCAAUAGCAGAUUACAUAUAGCAAAAAAUUGGUCACGCAGAGGCAAAGUCUCUUCUAUACAAGAACUCAGUUCAGUGCAGGAGCUGAUGAGAGGGGAGGCACGUUCUGGGAGUGAUUUCCAGAUCCUCAGUUCUUGAAGAUCUGACCUGGGGAUCUCCCCACAGAUAGAGGCACAGAGAACAGAAGCUGGAGGCAGAGGUGGCUUCCAAAACAUAGAACACAAUGAGCACCACAAGAGGGAUCACAGCCGAUUGAAAGAGAUACUGCCCGGUUCCUGCACACUCCGCAUCUCACCUUGUCUUCAUUGUAGUAGCUUUAUGCCUGCACAUAAUAGUCUCUGUUAAAAUUCUUUCAACACACAAGCCUUCAGAAAAUUAGUAACCAUUUUUCACUGAGGGUGGAGCUGCAAGUUCAUAAGUGUACACCAUUGGUUAGUGUCUGUUGCAUGUCUCCUUCUGUGUCUGAUCAACUGAGUAUGUGAGUAUUAUAGCCCUGAAUUGAAGAGCCUGGCUGUUUAGCUCAAGGCUCAUGCUAUGUUGCUUGGAAUUCAAACUGUUGUGGGCUUCAGAGGACCUGAAUUUCUAAUGUAAAAAGCAAAGGAGAACACACUUCAUAAUAAGCAAUUACGGUAAAGCAGAAGCAGAUGAAGCUUACAAAUUCCAGAACAUAUUCUAAUUAUUAAAAUAAUCUUACACUUAAAACUAUUUAAAUAACUUUCACAGCACAAUUAUUAUGUUAAACAGUAAAAGCAGCAGCAUAGCUUUGCAACUCAUAACACAAAAGCUGCUGUGUUCAA